UCCCUGGUAGCUCAGCUGGUAAAGAAUCUGCCUGCAAUGCAGGAGACCCUGGGUCAAUUCCUGGGUUGGGAA
rfam:TPA: Bos taurus chromosome 8, whole genome shotgun sequence.